rnacentral:tRNA from 1 species
GGGUCAUUAGCUCAAUUGGUAGAGCAGCGGACUCUUAAUCCGUUGGCUCCCGGUUCAAGUCCGGGAUGACCCA